rnacentral:tRNA from 1 species
GGGGAUAUGGCUCAGUUGGUAGAGUGCUUGCCUUGCAUGCAUGAGGCUCUAGGUUCAAUCCCCAACACCA